CGCGGCCUAUCAGCUUGUUGGUGAGGUAAUGGCUCACCAAGGCGACGACGGGUAGCCGGCCUGAGAGGGCGACCGGCCACACUGGGACUGAGACACGGCCCAGACUCCUACGGGAGGCAGCAGUGGGGAAUAUUGGGCAAUGGAGGAAACUCUGACCCAGCGACGCCGCGUGAGGGAUGAAGGCCUUCGGGUUGUAAACCUCUUUCAGUAGGGAAGAAGCGAAAGUGACGGUACCUACAGAAGAAGCACCGGCUAACUAUGUGCCAGCAGCCGCGGUAAUACAUAGGGUGCAAGCGUUGUCCGGAAUUAUUGGGCGUAAAGAGCUCGUAGGUGGUUCGAUACGUCGGAUGUGAAAAUCAGGGGCUCAACCCCUGACCUGCAUCCGAUACGGUCGAGCUAGAGUUUGGUAGGGGAGACUGGAAUUCCUGGUGUAGCGGUGGAAUGCGCAGAUAUCAGGAGGAACACCGAUGGCGAAGGCAGGUCUCUGGGCCAAUACUGACACUGAGGAGCGAAAGCGUGGGGAGCGAACAGGAUUAGAUACCCUGGUAGUCCACGCCGUAAACGGUGGGCGCUAGUUGUGCGAACCUUCCACGGUUUGUGCGACGCAGCUAACGCAUUAAGCUCCCCGCCUGGGGAGUACGG
rnacentral:rRNA from 1 species